GAUGAACGCUAGCUACAGGCUUAACACAUGCAAGUCGAGGGGAAACGGCAUUGAGUGCUUGCACUCUUUGGACGUCGACCGGCGCACGGGUGAGUAACGCGUAUCCAACCUUCCCAUUACUGUGGGAUAACCUGCCGAAAGGCAGACUAAUACCGCAUAGUCUUCGAUGACGGCAUCAGAUUUGAAGUAAAGAUUUAUCGGUAAUGGAUGGGGAUGCGUCUGAUUAGCUUGUUGGCGGGGCAACGGCCCACCAAGGCGACGAUCAGUAGGGGUUCUGAGAGGAAGGUCCCCCACAUUGGAACUGAGACACGGUCCAAACUCCUACGGGAGGCAGCAGUGAGGAAUAUUGGUCAAUGGGCGGAAGCCUGAACCAGCCAUGCCGCGUGAUGGAUGACGGCCUUAGGGUUGUAAACAUCUUUUCUGCUAGAGGAAUAGAGUUCACGUGUGGACAGACGACUGUAUAGCAGGAAUAAGGAUCGGCUAACUCCGUGCCAGCAGCCGCGGUAAUACGGAGGAUUCGAGCGUUAUCCGGAUUUACUGGGUUUAAAGGGUGCGCAGGCGGGCUCUUAAGUCAGCGGUGAAAUGUCUGGGCUUACCCUAGGAAUUGCCGUUGAUACUGGGAGUCUUGGAUAAGCAUAAGGACGGCGGAAUGCGUAGUGUAGCGGUGAAAUGCUUAGAUAUUACGUAGAAGACCAAUUGCGAAGGCAGCUGGCUGGGUCUUUAUCGACGCUCAAGCACGAAAGCGUGGGGAGCAAACAGG
rnacentral:rRNA from 1 species